CGCCUGCUGCGGGCAGAUGAAAUGGAUGUGCGAGUCGAUGCCGCCCGCCGUGACGAUGAGCCCCUCGCCCGCGAUGGCCUCGGUGGUCACGCCCACCACCAUGCCCGGCGUCACCCCCGCCAUCACGUCCGGGUUGCCCGCCUUGCCAAUCCCCGUGAUGCGUCCCGCCUUGAUGCCGAUGUCCGCCUUGUAGAUGCCCGACCAGUCGACGAUGAGUGCGUUGGUGAUGACGCAGUCGAGUGCCUCGGCAUCCCCUACCCCGGACUUCUGGCCCAUGCCGUCGCG
rnacentral:sRNA from 1 species